rnacentral:lncRNA from 1 species
CCUCAAACAUUGAUUUAAUGAAAGCAUAUGAUUCGUUACAUAAGGACUACUUAAGCAACUACCCAUUUUCUUAUCAAUUAUCUACAAGUAGUGGAUAUCUCCUUACCAUACAUGAUAAGAUAUGGCAUUAAAAAUGGAAACAUGUACUUUUGAAUCCUUUCCUUCCCAUCCAAAUCCCACCCCCUAAAUGAAACACACUCUAAAGCUAUCCUAGGCUAGAAAAGAAGGGGAUGGGGGAGUGAAAAGGACAGAGCACCAGCAACCAGGAAAAAUAAGCCAUGAAUCUGACGAUGUACACUUGUUUGGUAUAAAUACCUGUGCAUAAACCAGGAAAAAAGAAGGGUAUGAACAUGAACACUUGUUUGGUAUAAAUACCUGUGCAUAAACCAGACCAUGCCAAACAGAUUUGCAAUUCAUAUUUGUAAAAUGUUGUUUCAAAUGAAUCAAAAACGAAAUUUCAAACUACAAAGGUAUACUUUAAAUUUACAACCUACAAGAAGUCACUCUAACAAGAUGAUGGGUAUCCAUGUAUAUAAAUGGUUGUUUCAGAAAAAAGUUAAUCAAAUAACAGUAAUAAUUUCCUACCACUAAGCAGGAAUCACCAGGCAUCAAUCACAGAUGGUUCCGUUCAAGAAAAAAAGUGGUAGCUGUUAUCUACACAGUAGGUGUUGGUGUACAAUAAAAGUACACCAGUAUUUAACUCUUAUUCAUUAAAAUUCACAAACGUUCUAAAAACCAAGAAUUAAAAUUCACAAACGUUCUAAAAACCAAGAUCCAAACCACAAGAUUAUUUACAAAAAACAAAAAUACCAACCAAACAGGGUCAGAUUUCAGAUGGCUACACUCUCCGAUGAUGGAUUAUCACUUCAAACCAAAUAUGCAAUGGGAAAGUAACUUGACAGAUGCCAUGGGAUCUCAAAUGACAUGCACGUGUAUGGACAGUUAAAAACCUGCGUUUUUUACUUUUCGUUUUCAUUUUCUCUUUUUGCUGUAUUUUUUAAACAGCAAAUACACACCAUGCCACUCGCAAACAAUUAAACACAUAGACAGAGAGACAAAAUACGUAAUAGAAAAAUAGCAAUAAACUACCUCCAAAAUCGUGCUGCCCAGAAACCAUUUCUGUCUUCUGUCUGCAAAUUCAUUUAUGACCAAAUGAGAUAAGAGAAGAGGGAAUUAGGCAGUUGUUUAUACUAAUGGAUCAAAAAAGGCAUUAAUUGCAGCAUAUAUAAACGGAAAAUAUGUAAUCAAAGAGCUAUAAAACUGUAAAUUCUUGAAUCAGUAGAAUCUUCACAUAAUUAACAGAUGAACACAAAUUAAACAACUACAGACUAAAUAGAAAACCAGUUUGAACACAAAUUAGGUCACGAGUUGUACGAAUUAGGCCACGAUAAAUUAAAGGAACCAGCAGACCAGCAGCCACGACGAGCAACCGCCGGAAAAGGACAGAUUUUUAAAUAACAAACCUAGAUUUUUAACGCGAAAAAAAAUUACAAACCCAAUAAAGUUAUGGAGUUUUACCUUCCGAUCCGUUUGCUAUGGUUUCGUCGCGGAGACUUUUGAUGAGCUAUUCCGUCUGCUACUUUAGCGUGUGAGAGAGAGGGGGAAAAAGUUAGGGAGAGAAAGUAGGUUGAGCUCUGAUCUGAGCUCUGGUUCUAUUUUGAAAGUAAUUUGAGGCAGAGCAUCACCUGCGUGUUUUUUUCAAUUUGACCUGUACGCUCAACCGGCGUGUUUUUUACCCAAUUCGUCUUUAAUCCGUGACUUAAGUUCGCUGGAGAAGGAUUUUGUGUGUAUAUAUAUAUAUAUAUAUAUAUAUAUAUAUAUAUUGAGAGAGCUAGUGCAUAUGGAAGUGGUA